rnacentral:RNase_P_RNA from 1 species
GGUAAGGAUGGAAAGGCGAGGUAAGAGCUCACCGAGGAGGUGGAGACAUCUCCUGCCAUGUAAACCCUAUCCGCUGCAACACCGAAUGAAGGGUUGGCGGCUCGCCACAUAACUUCGACGGGUGGCUUGAGCAGGUCGGCAACGGCCUGUCGAGAUAGAUAAUCGUCCACGACAGAACUCGGCUUACGGACAACUCUGCUAA